CUCUUCUUUCCUUUCGAUUUCUCGGUUGUUUGCCUCUCUCACUCCGCGUCAACCAAAACCCUCUCUCGUGACAAAAUUUCCAAAUCAAGGUCUAACACAAAUCCUUGAAUCCUUAAUCCGUGAAUCAAAAACCUUGAAUCCUUAAUCCGUGAAUCGAAAACCUAUCUGAAAUAAAAAAAAACCUCCAAUUGAAACAUUCAUAACCCUAAAAAUUUGAUAUUUUCCCUGAAAUAAAAAAAAAAACCCUUGUUCUGUGAUAAUGAUUGUUCUUCGAUCUACUAGCUAACGAUUGAGCUAGGGUUUUUCAAUUUGGGGAUUUUCUGACUCUGUUAGUGAAGAUGAUAUAUAUCGGCAACCCAGCAAGUGGGUGGACUUAUAGGAACAUUGUUAUCCUGGCUCUCUUGCUUGGUUCAGAUGACUGAGGGAACCCAGGUGAAGAUGAAGCAAGGAUGGAAAUAUGCUAAGUAUCUACCAGACAUUACUUUGCUUUUGAGGCCCUUGUUUCUGAGGAACUUUCUUACAAGAUCAAGGGAUUGCCUGGAGUGCUUUGGGUUCUUCCAGAUUCUUACUUGAAUGUGAGAGAGAAAGAUUAUGGAGUGUACACUCCUCAAAUUGAUGGAAAGGAGUUAUUCCACGUCCGUGAAGCCAGGAGUUGUCUUUCUUACGAGCAGUUCAGUACAAUUCUUUCCAACAUCAAGGAGCUGAAUUCUCAAAAUCAAACUCAAGAGGAAACGUGAAGGAAGGCAGAAGAAUUAUUUGGUGGUACGUACAACAAAGAUCUUUACCGAUCAUUGCCGCUUAAUUGUAACAACCACUAGGACUUAAAGGUGUAUUCCAAAGAUGGUGCAUCAUAAUAAGUAGGCUGCAUCUCUCUUUCUCUCUUUCACGCACAUAUGCACCAACAAAAAGAUAAUUGCAUGUCCCUGUGCACACACACAUAGCACUAAAAUAUGGGAGUCUUGGGACUCCAUAUGAGUGGAAAGUUUACAAAAUUGCGCAAAGAAGCCAAAGAAACCAAACUGUGGAAAUUGGAUAUUAGGAGAUUGGAUGGGAGUGAAAGAGAAGUUAUUGAUAGUCACUGGGCACACCAUUCUCUCUAUGAUGUUACAGGAUCUGAUACCAGAAGUUGUUACCCCCAAUCGUUCCAAGCGGUCAUUAAAAUUGUGUAUAUUUUUGGUUGAUGUAUGAUGUGUGAUCCUUACUGUGGAUUACGAGUUUAUUUCCCCAAGUGAAAUACACUGGAUAUGAGUAUAUGACAAUUUUGGAAUGUGUGAAUGGAGAUAUUGGAAUUUGUGAA